rnacentral:lncRNA from 1 species
CCUUCCACUAAGUACAACUGAAAACCGUGACACUAUAUAUAAAACAAACAUAAGAAGACUCUGAAAGGCAAGAAUGGGUUUUCUUUUGCCUCCUUUAUUCCAGACUUGUAACUGAAGAAGCCAUCAACCAAGAAAUUUCCAACAGACCCAGAUGGAAAAAGUCCCAGUGAAAGCCUGUUCUUUAGCCAAAGGGGCCAGAAAAGAGCAAGAUAGCAGGACAAGUGUCAUUGAGGAGAAUUUGCCUAGGAGAUGCAAAGAGAGAGAAGCCUAUACUUUGAGGGUGGAAGCCCCUCCAACAGGCAACAUGACUGCAGCACAAUCAACUAUGGCUUUGCUGAUCUCGUGUAUCAUCAUCCUCAUCAUCCUCAUCCCCGCAAUUGCAGCAAACGUCCAGUUGUGCACUUACUGCUGAUGAUGAAUAAAUGUAUAGAACAGGAAAAAAUGUAUCUCACCUUCAGACAGAAGGUUGCACUCACAUCCUUAGCAGUUAUAAACAAGGCUUAAAAACAAGACUGAGUUUACAUGAAUGAUUUGUUUUUAGACUGAGGGCUAUAUGAUUGCUUUGGUAGUAGUGGUCCCUAAUGGAGCUAUGUUAAUUGGCAUCUGGGUUAGAAAAGAAAAAUUAAUAUGGCCCUCAGAGGCAAGAACUGGGGCUCGUCUACAUUUAGUGGAAUCUUUCAGAGCCUCUUUAGAGGGGCACACACCCUAGAGAGGAUGAUGAAGACAAAAAUUUUGAAUGUUGGAAAAAAAUUGUGUUUGAAGAAUAAAUUACAUAGAACAUAUAUGUGUGUGUGUGUGUGUG